rnacentral:rRNA from 1 species
ACUCCGUACGGGAGGCAGCAGUAGGGAAUCUUCCACAAUGGGCGCAAGCCUGAUGGAGCAACACCGCGUGAGUGAAAAAGGGUUUCGGCUCGUAAAGCUCUGUUGUUAAAGAAGAACACGUAUGAGAGUAACUGUUCAUACGUUGACGGUAUUUAACCAGAAAGUCACGGCUAACUACGUGCCAGCAGCCGCGGUAAUACGUAGGUGGCAAGCGUUAUCCGGAUUUAUUGGGCGUAAAGAGAGUGCAGGCGGUUUUCUAAGUCUGAUGUGAAAGCCUUCGGCUUAACCGGAGAAGUGCAUCGGAAACAGGAUAACUUGAGUGCAGAAGAGGGUAGUGGAACUCCAUGUGUAGCGGUGGAAUGCGUAGAUAUAUGGAAGAACACCAGUGGCGAAGGCGGCUACCUGGUCUGCAACUGACGCUGAGACUCGAAAGCAUGGGUAGCGAACAGGAUUAGAUACCCUGGUAGGAUAGCG